UGAGGAAUAUUGGGCAAUGCCCGCAAGGGUGACCCAGCAACGCCGCGUGGAGGAUGAAUGUCGUAAGAUUGUAAACUCCUGUUAGAGGGGGAGAAUAGUACCGGUUGGACCGGUAUAUGACUGUACCCUCAGAGAAAGCCCCGGCUAACUACGUGCCAGCAGCCGCGGUAAUACGUAGGGGGCAAGCGUUGUCCGGAUUUACUGGGUGUAAAGGGCGCGCAGGCGGGAUAAAAAGUCAGUGGUGAAAUCCUACAGCUUAACUGUAGAACUGCCUUUGAUACUUUUAUUCUUGAGUUCGGGAGAGAGAGACGGAAUUCCAGGUGUAGUGGUGAAAUACGUAGAUAUCUGGAAGAACACCAGUUGCGAAGGCGGUCUCUUGGUCCGACACUGACGCUGAGGCGCGAAAGCGUGGGGA
rnacentral:rRNA from 1 species